rnacentral:rRNA from 1 species
GUCCAUGGCCAUACCACCCUGAACGCACCAGAGCUCCUCUGAUCUUGGAAGCUAAGCAGGGUCAGGCCUGGUUAGUACUUGGAUGGGAGACCAAAGAGUAGCUCACCCUUUCUGGAGAACAACUGUGAUGUGUACC